AGCAGCCGCGGUAAUUCCAGCUCCAAUAGCGUAUAUUAAAGUUGUUGCAGUUAAAAAGCUCGUAGUUGAAUUUCGGGGUUAGUAGGUUGGUCAUGCCUCUGGUAUGUACUGAUCUCACUGAUUCCUCCUUCCUGAUGAACCGUAAUGCCAUUAAUUUGGUGUUGCGGGGAGACUGGACUGUUACUUUGAAAAAUUAGAGUGUUUAAAGCAGGCUAACGCUUGAAUACAUUAGCAUGGAAUAAUGAAAUAGGACGUUCGAUCCUAUUUUGUUGGUUUCUAGGAUUGACGUAAUGAUUAAUAGGGAUAGUUGGGGGCAUUAGUAUUCAAUUGUCAGAGGUGAAAUUCUUGGAUUUAUUGAAGACUAACUACUGCGAAAGCAUUUGCCAAGGAUGUUUUCAUUAAUCAAGAACGAAAGUUAGGGGAUCGAAGACGAUCAGAUACCGUCGUAGU
rnacentral:rRNA from 1 species